rnacentral:rRNA from 1 species
UACAGAGGUCUCAAGCGUUGUUCGGAUUUAUUGGGCGUAAAGGGUGCGUAGGCGGCGCGGUAAGUCGGGUGUGAAAUCUCGGAGCUUAACUCCGAAACUGCAUUCGAUACUGCCGUGCUUGAGGACUGGAGAGGAGACUGGAAUUUACGGUGUAGCGGUGAAAUGCGUAGAUAUCGUAAGGAAGACCGGUGGCGAAGGCGGGUCUCUGGACAGUUCCUGACGCUGAGGCACGAAGGUCAGGGGAGCAAACGGG